GCGCACUUAACCACUGUGCCACUGGGCUGGCCCCAAUAUAUCUCCAAUUUUAAAAAUAGAGAUAUAAAAAAAGCCCCACAGCUUCUGGCACAUCCUAAGUAUUUAAUACUUUGAAGCUAUUAUUAUUAGAGAGAUGUGAAGGUGAUGUGUCCAUUUUAUUUGACAUGUAUUAAUCCUGUUUAACAAAUAGCACUUACUGUAGUCCUCAGAACAAUUCUAUGAAGUAGGUACCCUUAUCCUCCACAUUUGACAGAUGGAGGAAACAAAGGCUCAGAGAAGGUACAUUUCCUUCCCAGAGUUGCACAGCAUGUAAAUCGCAAGUGCACAAAGGUUGCAAAGGCUGGAAGUGCUGGGGCAAAACCCCGGCCACAUGGUCCCAGAACCCCUCACUUAACCACCACCUUGCGAGGCCACUUCAUUACUGAUUGCCGCCUGAAGAGAACGUCCCUUCGAGGCUCAGAGCUGUGCUGAUUUCUGGUUUUCCUUGUCUUCUGCAAUUCCUUUGAUGAAUGAGCUCCCGGG